rnacentral:rRNA from 1 species
GACGGAGGGUGCGAGCGUUGUCCGGAAUCAUUGGGCGUAAAGGGCGCGUAGGUGGCGGGACAAGCGUGCGGUGAAAGCCUGGGGCUCAACCCCGGGUCGGCCGUGCGAACUGUUUUGCUUGAGCACUGUAGAGGCAGGCGGAAUUCCGGGUGUAGCGGUGGAAUGCGUAGAGAUCCGGAGGAACACCGGUGGCGAAGGCGGCUUCCUGGACCGACACUGACGCUGAUGCGCGAAAGCCAGGGGAGCGAACGGG